rnacentral:rRNA from 1 species
UACGGAGGGGGUUAGCGUUGUUCGGAAUUACUGGGCGUAAAGCGCGCGUAGGCGGAUUAGAAAGUUGGGGGUGAAAUCCCGGGGCUCAACCCCGGAACUGCCUCCAAAACAACUAGUCUAGAGUUCGAGAGAGGUGAGUGGAAUUCCGAGUGUAGAGGUGAAAUUCGUAGAUAUUCGGAGGAACACCAGUGGCGAAGGCGGCUCACUGGCUCGAUACUGACGCUGAGGUGCGAAAGUGUGGGGAGCAAACAGG